UCACUGCAAUAGAGAGCCAAGGAGACACAGGCCCCAGCUAGUCCCACGCCAGCUACUCCCCGCCCGGACAACAGCCCCGCGCACUUUCGACCCCGAGACCCUCUACGAUGCUCGGGAGUCUCCAGAUAUGCUACCGCAGGAAGCACCUACCACUAUCCGGCCGGGGUGGGGAACUCCCUGCCGCCGCCUCCCACCCCACCGCGACGGGGACCCACCUCAGAAAGAAGGCUUCAUACAGUGCCCGGCAGAAAACAAACUCAAUACAUGUUUAUUUGAUGGAGUGAAAGGGGUGUGCCUGAAAUUCGACAUCUGCCACUCCUCUGAGGUGCUACACCUUGUUAAGAUGAUGACAGCAAGAAUAACAACAGUGGCCUUUCUCAUUACACAUGUAAUAUACCUAUGAUGUGAAACUUUGGGAAAUAUAGCAUCAGCCUUGUUGAAUGAAGAAAUGAAUCCAAAGGAAGAAACAAAACAAAAGCUCACGAAGGACUGGAAAGCCAUCAGGACAUGGGGUAAACUUCUCUCCCAAGGGCCUCUUUCUAGGGCUACAUGUUUGUUCAUCUCUUCUUUUCUCAUCUGCUUUUUUACUCUUAUUUACAGACUAGGAUGGAGAGGGAGAAAUAGAAAGAAAUAAAUACUUUAAACCAGAGGCUUCCUAACAUGGUAAUUCCUUAGAAUCAUAGCAGUAUCAUUUUUCAAACUUUGAUAACUGGACCUUGCUCAAGACUUCCUGAAUCAAAAUUACCAUGAAUAAGACUCUGGAAUUUCUAGUCUUGAAAUCCAUAUUUAGCUAGCUAGGCACUGAAUUGUAAAUGUUUCUAAGAACUUCUGCUUUAAGCAAAUUAAACUUUUCCCAAAAUAUUGCAUGGGGUUGACUUUGUCAACAGAUGUUCUUUGAGACCAUGGGCAUGUGAGCCAGCUCUGGUAUAGGGAGACUGUAGGGAGGAAAAAUGAAGUCCUGGAUUUUGUGUAGCUGAUAUCCUGUGGUUGAUCUCAUACACAGGAAAAGGGAGAGAAAUGCCCUGUUUUUAUCAAGGUGAUUUCACAAAUGUCUAGAAAACAUAUUGUAGUAUUAUUGAAAGAGAAGAAUACUAGACGAGAUGUCAAAAUGUCUAGUUUCUACUCUUGCUACCUGCAUGCUAUCUUUU